rnacentral:rRNA from 1 species
GGACUCUAUCUGCUAGAUGUCCGGGGCUGCACGCGCGCCACACUGAGCGGAUCAGCGUGUGCCUGCCCUUGCCGACAGGCGUGGGUAACCCGCUGAACCCCGCUCGUGAUGGGGAUUGGGGAUUGCAACUGUUUCCCAUGAACGAGGAAUUCCCAGUAAGCACGGGUCACAAGCUCGUGUUGAUUAAGUCCCUGCCCUUGUACACACCGCCCGUCGCUACUACCGAUUGGAUGGCUUAGUGAGGUCCUCGGAUCGCCCCGCCGGAGUCUUCACGGCUCUGGCGUGCGUGCCGAGAAGACGAUCAAACUUGACUAUCUAGAGGAAGUAAAAGUCGUAACAAGGUUUCC